rnacentral:tRNA from 1 species
AUUGAUUUGGCAGAUUAGUGCAUUAAAUUUAGAAUUUAAUAAUGUGGUGUUUCACAUUCAAUA